rnacentral:rRNA from 1 species
UACGUAGGUGGCAAGCGUUGUCCGGAUUUACUGGGCGUAAAGAGCGCGCAGGCGGUUGGAUAAGUCGAAUGUGAAAGCCCCCCGGCUCAACUGGGGAGGGUCACGCGAUACUGAUCGACUCGAAGGCAGGAGAGGGUAGUGGAAUUCCCGGUGUAGUGGUGAAAUGCGUAGAUAUCGGGAGGAACACCAGUGGCGAAGGCGACUACCUGGCCUGUUCUUGACGCUGAGGCGCGAAAGCUAGGGGAGCAAACGGG